CUACGGGGCGCACCAGUGAGGAAUAUUGCACAAUGGGGGAAACCCUGAUGCAGCAACGCCGCGUGGAGGAUGACGCAUUUCGGUGUGUAAACUCCUUUUAUGAGUCAAGAAAAUGACGGUAGCUCAUGAAUAAGCACCGGCUAACUCCGUGCCAGCAGCCGCGGUAAUACGGAGGGUGCAAGCGUUACUCGGAAUCACUGGGCGUAAAGGACGCGUAGGCGGGAGGUCAAGUCAGGUGUGAAAUCCUAUGGCUCAACCAUAGAACUGCACUUGAAACUGGCAACCUAGAGUAUGGGAGGGGGAGAUGGAAUUAGUGGUGUAGGGGUAAAAUCCGUAGAUAUCACUAGGAGUACCGAAAGCGAAGGCGAUCUCCUGGAACAUUACUGACGCUAAGGCGUGAAAGCGUGGGGAGCAAACAGGAUUAGAUACCCCCGUAGUC
rnacentral:rRNA from 1 species